GGCGAAGAUGAAGAGUGCUUUGAUUUCUGACACCUCUUGUAUGAGAUGAGUUUAAAACAAACUCUUCUUUGAGCACAGAUAGCAACUCUCUGAGCC